GAUGAACGCUAGCGGGAGGCCUAACACAUGCAAGCCGAGCGGUAUUGUUUCUUCGGAAAUGAGAGAGCGGCGUACGGGUGCGUAACACGUGUGCAACCUGCCUUUAUCUGGGGGAUAGCCUUUCGAAAGGAAGAUUAAUACUCCAUAAUAUAUUGAACGGCAUCGUUUAAUAUUGAAAGCUCCGGCGGAUAGAGAUGGGCACGCGCAAGAUUAGCUAGUUGGUGAGGUAACGGCUCACCAAGGCGAUGAUCUUUAGGGGGCCUGAGAGGGUGAUCCCCCACACGGGUACUGAGACACGGACCAGACUCCUACGGGAGGCAGCAGUGAGGAAUAUUGGGCAAUGGGUGCAAGCCUGAACCAGCCAUCCCGCGUGAAGGACGACUGCCCUAUGGGUUGUAAACUUCUUUUGUAUAGGGAUAAACCUACCCUCGAGAGGGUAGCUGAAGGUACUAGAAGAAUAAGCACCGGCUAACUCCGUG
rnacentral:rRNA from 1 species